GCUGGAACAGAACCCUGCAACUGGAAAGGGAAUGCCUGAAGACCAUAGCAACGGAUUCCCCGGAGUUCUGAUGGCUAGAGGUCUGGCAUCAAGUGGUCAGCCGGAAGAGCCUAUUCCACACCUCUGCCUGCCUUUCUCUUGUCAGCUCUCAACACUCCUUGGCUUCUAGACUUUUCACUUGAACCUCUGCCUCCACGUGUGUCUGUGUCCCAUGGGGCCUUCUCCCGAGGAUGCCAGCCAUGGACUUAGGGCCCGCCUUAAUCCAGUGUGACCUCAUCUUAAGUAAUCACAUCACAAGAACUUAUGUUCACGCAAGAUCACAUUCUAUAGUUGCAGGUGGACCUGAGUUUUGAGAGACAAGGCUGUUCACCCCAGGCCAUUGGGUCAAGUUGUUUUUUAAGUCCUUGUGGCAUGUAGGAUCUUAGUUUCCCUGACCAGGGACGGAACCUGCACCUCCUGCAUCGAGAGGUGGAGCCUCUGGACCACCAGGGAAGAGACUGGACCACCAGGGAGACCCCCACUGGGUCAAGUUUCUGAGACAGCUGUUUAAGGACCAAAACAUUCCUGUUUGGGGUAAUUCCCAGGAUUCUAUAAAACCUAGGUGGAGGGGAUCAGAGAUGCAAGUACUGACAGUUGUUUGGAAUCAACGAGAUGAAAGCUCUUGUCAGAGGCCUGGGGAAUCAGGAAGUCUACUGACAAUCAUGAGUCCUUUACAUGAAGAUUGAGAAAUGGACGUUUCACAAAACCUGGCAAAGAGGAGACGAUCGCUUUUGGUCCUUCCAAAUAUUCUUGGAAGAAGGAGAUUUUUGAAGUUUCACCAGGCCAAUACCCUUAGUGGUGAUAAAUUCACGCUGGAGCAAAGAGUGUCGGCAAUUAAAGAAACUCCUGCUGAGGAAGAUUUCCAUUAUUUUGUCCAUGAUUUCCAGUGAUUUAAAAGAAUUCCUCCAAACUCCUAUCGAGAAAUGAAAACACACAGCUGCAGCUGAAAACAUUAAACCAAAAGAGAAACGUCCAGUGGAGAACAGACUUGCGGGCCCAGUGGGGAAGGAGAGGGCGGGAGGGAUUGGGAGAGCAGCGCUGAAAGGCGCACAUUGCACAUCGCACAAAAACGGACGACGCGUGGGGAGCUGCUGUGCAACAGGGGGUGCACAACAGGGGGCUCUGCGAUGACCUAGACUGGCGGGAGGGAGGUCCAGCAGGGAGGGGACAUUCGGAUCCCUGUGGCUGAUUCAUGCUGAUGUAUGGCAGAGACCCUCACAGUAUUGUAAAGCAAUUAACCUUCAAUUAAAAAUAAAUUUAAAAAAGGAAUUAAGACCAUCAAUAAAUAAAGGAAGAGAAAGGCCCAGUGGAAACAUUCUCAUGGACCCAGCAGAGGUGGCAGAGCCACCAGAAUCUUUCCAACAGCUUUUGUUGAUACUCGGCAGAGGAAUAGAUAGACUCCCGUUGGGUGUUUUGGUCAGUUUUAUUAGGAAGUUGACUCAGGCCUGCACUCCUCGCAGAAGCCAGACAGAGGGUAGGGGACCUACUCACAAACCUUUAGGCAGUGUUGAAAGCUGAGUCACUUCAGACGUGUAGAUCCUGUUGCAACCAACAGAAUAUGCUUGCUUCUUGUGGACAGAUACAGGGGCUUCCCAGAUGCAGAGAGGAAAACUGAGAUGGGAACUGAAUAGCAAAGUGGAGGCUGAAUGCAAUGGAUGAAUAGCUGUGUGCAGGACAGGGCAAACACCUCUUCCCGCCCCUCAGUUAUCCACCCCAAUUCCCUGCU
rnacentral:lncRNA from 1 species